AACGGGGGGAACAAGUGUUAUUCAUCCUAACUGGGCGUAAAGGGCACGUAGGCUGGUUAAGCUUUUUAUAAAAAUCUCUGGUUUAACCGGAGGCAUAUAAUUUGAACUGGCAACCUUUUUUGUAGAGUAAUUUAGGGCAAAAUUGUACAUAGAGUGUAGAGGUGAAAUUCGUAGAAAUUCUAUGGACUGUCAUCGGGUGGAGACCAUUUUGCAUUUUUUACUGACGCUGAGGUGCGAAAGCAUGGGUAUCGAAGAGG
rnacentral:rRNA from 1 species